rnacentral:rRNA from 1 species
UAUGUGAUCGUCUCUCGCAUAUCAAUAAGCGGAGGAAAAGAAACUAACAAGGAUUCCCCUAGUAACGGCGAGUGAAGCGGGAAGAGCUCAAAUUUGAAAUCUUAAAGGGUUUCCCUUUACGAAUUGUAGUUUAAAGAAGUGUUUUCUGUUGAGGUUUUGGUAAAAGUUCUUUGGAAUAGGACAUCAUAGAGGGUGAGAAUCCCGUAUUUGACCUUUACUUUCAACUUUGUGAUACACUUUCAAAGAGUCGGAUUGUUUGGGAAUGCAGUCCAAAAUGGGUGGUAAAUUUCAUCUAAAGCUAAAUAUUGGCGAGAGACCGAUAGCGAACAAGUACCGUGAGGGAAAGAUGAAAAGAACUUUGAAAAGAGAGUUAAACAGUACGUGAAAUUGUCAAAAGGGAAGCGUUUGACACCAGUGUUGUUUUUCUGAAAAUCAAUUAAAGAACUGUUUAUGCUAAGCUGUUUAGACUUUAUCAGCUAUCUGUUUAGUUUUGGGCUUUUCUUUAAUGCACUUUUCAGUUAACAAGUCAACAUCAAUUUCUUUUGCUGUAAAAAAGCUUGAGGAAGGUGGCUUGAGAUUCGUCUUAAGUGUUUAUAGCCUCUUGCCUAUGCAGUCGGAGAGAUUGAGGUCUGCAGCGUAGAUCCUUCGGGGCUAAAUGCAUUUGUGCUAAGUUAUAACAUUUUAUAGACAACUUGUUGACUAUGAUUUGUCUUGUAGCUUACUCGCUUAUGUUAUUUUACCUACGCUUAGGAUGUUGAGUAGCGACAUACGCAC